UACAGGGGGUGCAAACGUUGCUCGGAAUCAUUGGGCGUAAAGCGCACGUAGGCGGUUCGUUAUGUCGGAUGUGAAAGCCCUUGGCUUAACCGAGGAAGUGCAUCCGAAACUGGCGAGCUAGAGUACUAAAGAGGAUCGCGGAAUUCCCGGUGUAGAGGUGAAAUUCGUAGAUAUCGGGAGGAACACCGGUGGCGAAGGCGGCGAUCUGGGUAGAUACUGACGCUGAGGUGCGAAAGCGUGGGGGAGCAAAACAGG
rnacentral:rRNA from 1 species